rfam:Oryza glaberrima chromosome 2 Oglab02_0209_13, whole genome shotgun sequence.
AAUAAGUGCUGUUUUGCACUGUUAUAUUCAACAUUUGAUCGUUCGCUUUAUUUGUUUUUUUUUGUAUAAUUAGUAUUUUUUUUGUUAUUAGAUGAUAAAACAUGAAUAUUGCUUUAUGUGUGACUAUUUUUUAAAAAUAUUCAUAAAAUUUUUAAAUAAUAUGGACGGUUAAAUGUUAGACACGAAUACCAUGGUUGUAUUUAUU